UGCUCUGGGGCUGGAUGAACGGAGGUAGUCCACGGUAGAGGAGUUUUGUUUAACCCAGAGGCACUGCGUCCAAAACCCUGGCCUGGGUGAAGACAGGACUAGCAACUGAAUGAGCCACCAUGCCAUGGGGGAUCCAGCACUGCUGCCGUCGUGAUUCUCCUCCCAACCUCCGUGGGCUUCCUGGAGCCUCUUCAGCCCGUGGUAGGCUCCCCUAACCCAGCCACUCAAGGUGCCAGGCAAAGGUUGGGCUCUCAGCUUUACAUGUAUGUCAAAACCUACCUGGUCCCUGACAGCACCUGACUGGGUAAAAGGAAGACGUCUGUGAGGAAAAGGACUGUGAACCCGACUUUCCAAGAAAUGCUGAAGUACAAGAUUGAGAAAAUGGCCCUGAUAGACCAGAAGCUGAACCUCUCCAUGUGGCACAAUGACCUUCUGGGAUAUAUUUUCAUGGGAGAGAUAGAGAUCAACUUGGCCAACUGGAACUGGGACAAGAGGAAACUCAUCUGAUGAUUGGACUCUUCUGCCCCCACCUUCCUUCCCAUCACCCAGUGCAGCAGUCCAGAUGGCAUGUGCAGCUGACCAGGGCAGAGGUCAGAGCAGGGAGGACUACUUCCUGCCUAGGCAGCCAGAAUUCUGGGCUUCUGUGGAGGCAGCCCCCAGAGAUGGAGUUUCUGGAGAUGGGGAAAAGGACUGUGGGGGCCACCAGUUUCCUGUUUCUUCCUGUGGUUGUGGCUGCCUUCCUGCAGGAGCAACCAGUGAACAGGCUUCAUUUCAUCUCCACAGCCAGAAGGAGAGUGGAGGGCACAGGGGCUGCUGCAGGGUUGUUACCUCAUGAGCUCAGGGACCUGUGCUGUCCCCAAGGGGAUCUAUGGCAGGGACUGCCUGGCCAGCCCAUACUGCCACACCCUUCCCUCUCAAGGCCAAUAAUGGCCUGGCCAAUAAUGGCCUGGCCAAUAAUGCUGUGGGGCACAGGGACUGUCCCAAGUGAGUGACAAAGAAGGGCUGAGGGAGCUCAGAGAAGAUGAGGGAGACCUCCCCAGAGAAGGUGAAAUGAGUGCUCCCAUGGUCAGCCCCCUCAGCCUUCUGGGAGCUGAUAUUGUCAGCUGGCAAAAACACACUCAUUCGUACAUCUAGUGCAGCCUCAGCCCUGACUUUGAGGGGCGUGGGCAUAGACACCCUCAUGUCCAGUGAGAUCAGCCCAGGCAGGAAAGAAAAACCAAACCCCAAUCAAGGGCCUUCAAUUGGUGAUAAUGACUUAAACGAGAACCCUGACAUGAGCCUAGAUGAUGGAAGGUUCCUAGUGUUUCUGGAACAGAGCCCUGAGAGGAGAGGAGAGCCCCUGGAUGUGGUGGCAUAAUAAUUCAAAUUAUGAGACUACUAGUAGCUUCAUAACUUUAUUAAAUCCAAGUAGUAGUAGUAAAGAGAUAUUUGGUUUGCUAAUCUAUUGGCCACCAUGAUGGAUUGAAGCUAAGCUUCAACAAGGCUCCUGAGUCUCCCCUUUCAAGCUGUUUUCUCCACCCACUAGCUCUCACACAUCACAUCUAAGGAACCAAUCAUCGUUUCUAAAUUUGCCUGGGCUGCCCAGGGAGACAGUGCCUGUGGAAUCAGUUUUCUGUCUCAUUGUUUCCUUGGUUCUUCAACUUCCUUUCUCUAAGGGCUUAUCUAUACCUGAAUUAACUCAGUGAUCUUUGACCUCCUUGUCACUGACAGGUGAUGUCAUGUUAAACAAAGCAACAUAAUGGAGAGAGAAAUUUUCUUCCAACAAUCCACCCUGUGGUUUUAUUAGGAGAUGAGCAUGUUGAAAUCUACCCAGUUGAGGUCUUUGGGAGAUUAACAUGCCCAGUCUCCCCAAUGACUCAUUUCAAAUAACCAGCUUGUAUAUCUAAAGAUUCUAUUACUAGAAAUGUAUAAAAUAUACCACGUUACCUAGAGGGAAUUACAACAAUUUGGGGAUAAAAGUGAAAGAAAAAACAAAAAAAUUUUUGAUAGACACAUGAACAAAAUGCCAAUUAGGCGGCACUCCCCUUUGACAUAAGAGUUGCAUUCAGAAUAAAUGAUAUAUUCACCCCCUUCAGUUCAGUUCAUUGUAUCCCAAAGUUCACUCUGGAUCUCUUGAUGCAGUGUGUGGUUUCUGCAGGCAUCCUUAUGGUACCUUCUUCAAAAGAUCCGCUUUCUUGAUUCAGGGUAUUGGCAAUUUUCUUUUUCUAAAAUUUCUUGAAAAGAUUUUAAACCUUGGAUUUUAGGAUAGUUAUACAAUCCCACCCAGGAGGGUGUUCAUCAACAUUAGAAUCACCCCAGGAUACAUGGCAAAGUUAUUAGUAUAUGAAUCAAUUCUCAAAAGAAAACCAACCCCCCCCAAAAAACAAUAGAAGAGAAAAAAUUCAUUGGCCAAUUAAAGACCCUAAAAGAGACUCAAAUUCAGAGGAAGAUUACUUAUAUCUAUGCCAGGCUAGAAAUGCAUUACUAAAAGCAAUGAAGUGGGACCCCUAUCAGUAGAACAUUCUUUCCUUUUAAUGCCUGAUUCCUCUACAAAUUUGUUAGGGAGCAAUCUUUUAUGCAAACAGAGCCACAACAUGCUCCCCAGAUGGCUCUAUGAUGCUAGAAUUGUCUGAGUAAUCCUUAACUUUGUUUCCCAUUGUAAGAUUAAAAAUUAUAUCCAAUACUCCAGGUAUUAUAUUUUAUAAGAAUUUAUUAAUAACUUGAAGUAAAGGAAACAAAAAAAUCAUGAGAGAGAGAUAACCUGACCGUGGUCUGGGGAAAGAGGAGAAGAGUGUGGAAGGAAGAAACAGAGAGACAGAGAGAGAGAGAGAGAGAGAGAGAGAGAGAGAGAGAGAGAGAUAGUGGAGUUACAAACAACUUUAUUGAUAUAGGGUAAGGACACAAUGUGGGGAUAAAAAAGUAAAGGGAUAUUGGGUAAUGUAGUUUCAAGGUAUAAAAUUCUAUUUACACACUGUCCUGGAAGUGAAGGAACCAUCCACCUUUGAAAUCCUAGCUGAUUUACCUGAGUCUCUCUGGGCCUCAUCAUUUUCUAAUGUAGUCUACACAAAUUAGCUGUUCUUAUUCAGAUUAAGACAAAAGGUAGUCCACCUCUUUCCAUUCCUCACUACCCCCUAUCAAGAGAAGCUAUUGAUGGAAUGUCCCCAAUGAUAGAUUCAUUAAUUAAGCAAGGAAUAAUAAUUCCAUGCAAAUCUAAAUAUAAUACACCUAUUCUCCUUGUAAAAAAGCCAAAGCUAGGACCUAAUGGAAAACCUAUUUUAUUGGUUCAUACAGGAUCUAAGGGCUGUAAAUAGUCAUGUCAUAAAAAAAGACACCCUGAGUUUCCCAACUCAGUCACAAAUAUCUCCUCUAUUCUCAGAAGCACAGCCACAUAUUUUACUGUGGUGGAUCUGUGCUCAGCAUUCUUCUCAAUCCCUAUCCAUGAAAAUUCUAGGAAUAUAUUUGCCUUCACUUGGAAAGGCUCCUAGUGGUUAUGGUCAAGACUGCCACAAAGAUUCAUCGACAAUCCAACCCUGUUCUCACAAAUUUUAAAACAGGAUUUAGCAAAUAUAAUUUUUCAGAAGAGCUGUUUGAUACAAUUUGUAGGUAAUCUGUUCUUGGCCACACCAAAUGCCACAGUGUGCCAGGAAGAUAGCAAGCACCUUCUCCUAGAACUAUAUAGGGAGAGGCCACAAGGUCGCAAAGGCAAAGGUUCAGUGGUGUCUCCCCAAAGUUGAAUAUUUAGGGUUUGUUCUAACUGCCAGUGGCUGCUCCAUUUCCACUAAGUUCAUUGAAGCUAUUCAGAAAUUGACUGCCCCCUCCAAUAAAAAACAUUUGAGGGCAGUUUUAGGAGCAACAGGAUUUUGUAGGCAACAGAUCCCUCACAAUGGGGGAAUCACUAAACACCCUAUAACUCUGACAAAAAAUUUAGUUCCUGAACUGCUUAGAUAAGAUGCAGAAUUCCUGUCAGCUCUUUUAGAAUUAAAACAAGCUAUCCUGUCUGCCUCUGCUUUAGGCAUUCCAGAUUACAAAAAGUUAUUUACCUUGUAUGUGCAUGAACAGAGAGGGGGUAAGCUUCAGGUGUUUUAACUCAAACUUUAGGAUCUGUUCAGCAUCCAGUUGCUUAUUAUUCAGCCCAGCUGGACCCAGUAGCUUCAGGAACCCCACCAUGUCUUAGAGGCAUAGCUUCCACAGCUUUGAUAGUAACAAAAUCUGCUGAUUUAGUAUUGGUGCCCUUUGAUAGCUCAGCUGAUAGAGUGGAGGACUGUAGAUUAUAUAUCUGUGGGAAUGUUUAGGUUGAUGGUUUGAUUCCAGUUCAAAGGAAGUGCCAAUAUUCAUGGUCAGGCAGGGGCACUGGAGGCACAAUAGCUGUUCUACUAGCCUGAGCUCUUUAGGAGCAGGACAUGGGUUGGGGAGUCUUUGAGUUGAGGCUGGCACCUUGGCAGGCCUAGUUUGGUCUAGAUAGUAACAGCAUUUAUGUGGCACCUAUGGUGCGCUAGGGACCGUGCCAAAUGCUUCUUAAACUGGAUUUCAUUUUGUCUAGGAGGUUUCCUGACCCCUAAUUAAUAGACAGGGAAACUGAGGCAGGCAGCAAGAAAGUGACUUGCCCAACUAGGGUGAGUCCAAGGCUAGAGAGACCUGAUCCCUGAUCCAGGGCAGAAUGACUAACAUUUUGCCUCUGAGCCUGAGCUAGAACCUGCCUCUUCCCUGGAUCACAUCUCCAAAGCCACAGUUAUCAAGCAGUUCAGGUGAAGAGCUUCACCUGCUUGAGAGAGAAUGUUAUUUUGAAUCUCAGUGGGCUUCUGGACCCUUCCACUUGAAUUUAUGGAGAUAGCUGGCUCCCUAACUCCUGUCACCUAGAUGGAGAGGAAAUGACUGAGCCCAGCCAACUAGUCACCCCUAGGGGGGACAGUGAGAUCACAAAGCUUGAAAGAUGUCACUAUGCAGAAACAUUCUGAGGUUGCCAUGACUGAGGGGCCCUACAUCAGACAACACUCCCUCCCUUGGGAGGUGGAUGGGAAUGUUCACAUCAAAGCCUCCUCCAGGGGAGGGGAUGAAAGAACAGGAGCACCACUUUCUUCCUAUGAAUUUUGUGGCUGUUUUGAGACCCUUCUGACUGCCCCCUGGGCAGGUUCCAGGGAGAAGACUGGAUGGCAGACCUGGAUCCCACCCAGUGCCAGAGGCCAGCCUGAGGAUGCCUUCAUUUCAACAAGGAGGUGGCCGUGUUCCCUUGGUAGGAAAUGGGACAGGGAGAACCAUCUCCCCAUCAGUAGUCAUUGUCAGAGUUGGCCAUACCCUCCCGAACAUGCUUCUAACAGCUUUGGGUGGAGGAGGUGAUGAGGUUCCAGGGACCACACCACCAGUCCCCAGGGUCUAUGGACAUCAGCCUCAGGCCUUUCCAGAAUAUCUACAUGUAGCCUUUGUUGGUGCUGGUGAUGGAAGAGAUGGAGUAGUUGUCCAAGCCAGACAGUCACAGAUCUUCCCAAACAAUCAUCACAGAAUUCGAUCAAUGACCCAUGGCAGAAGAUACCGGGCCUUCCCCGAGGGCAUGCUGGCAGCUUUGGCUGGAGUAAGAGAUGGGAGAUUCACAGAGGAAAGAUCAGGAGUAGUUGCCUCUCACCAUAGCCAGUCUCGCCCUGAUGGCCCUCGAGGACCCAUAGUCAGGAAUGGAAAUGGAAGACAUAGACCUCUUCCCUGGAACAUAAUAUCCCAAAAUCUCCCAGGUGGCUUUGGACAGGAAGAUGGAAGAGCUGAAGCUAUUUCCUCUGUUCAGAUCGUCCCAGAGGCACUGUAAUUGGAGUCUAGGAAGGACUAAAGCCCACGAUCAGAUCCCCUUCCUUUCCUCCCUUUCCCCUCGUCUCCCUUCCCCCUCAUUCCCUUCUCCUCUCCCUCUUCCUUCCUUCCUUCCUUCCUUCCUUCCUUCCUUCCUUCCUUCCUUCCUUCUUUCUUUCCUUCCUUAUUCCUUCCUUUCCCUUCUAAAUUCCCAUCUUUUCUCCUUCCCUUUCUCUUCUUCUGUGGCCCUUCCCCUGUGGACCCAUGACUCCUUGCAACUAGAGAAGAGCAGAAGGCCCAAAGUCAUCCUCUCCCCAGAUGUUGCUCAUGGAGGACAUUCUUUGAAGUUUUAAUGUGUUAUCUUACAUUCUUUUCUCUAAAAAUAAAAAGCUCUCCCAUCGCAAAAAGAAAAAUAAAGAUCUUCUAUGGUGA